CCGCAUAGAUAUUAAGAAGAUUUAUCAAAUGACAGUAAUAUUAUCGAACUAAUAUAGAUAUUUGAUCAGUAUAUGUUUUUCUUUGAAUGAUCAUUAUCAUUUUCAUGAUGUAAAGCUACAAAAGUAAAGUUAUUUGUAAUAGAGAUAUUUAAAAUAUAUAGGCACAUCAAAAAGUUGCAGUGAUAUCACUGUUGCACAUACAUGCACCCUUUGUCU
rnacentral:lncRNA from 1 species